GUUGUGACUAUAAAAGGUUUGCAUUUCUCCUGUCAUCAGGUAGAACAGAAAUUUGGUAAAUUUGUGUGUGUGUUACAGUGGAAAAUACCAGCAAGAUGCAUGGGAUCAGGAUGUAAUCCAAUCAGGUAACGAAAAUGGCGCGAUUGAGGGAAGUAAGACUGAAUUUAGCUAACUGAAAAUUUAACUAUUUUGAAGACCUCAUCUAUCGACUGGACAUGAAUCAAGAAUGAAAAACGAAUACAAAAUUCAUAAACAACCAGAAGCGCUAUUGAUGGACUACCAGAAUACUGAAGACAAACAAUUUUGGCCUGAUGUGGAAAAUGUGAUUGACUCAUGGCCAGCGGGAACGGUAAUAGCGGCACACUUUGCACAAUGAAACGAAAUGCACAACUGAAAGGAGAAGACUAUCAGAAACAAAGAAUCAAUAUCGAACAAUCGAUUCAAUACAUACUUGGUAAAAAUAUAGAGAGCAAAUCCCAGCAAGGCAUAAAAUUGCUCAGAAUUAUUCCCACCAGGAACACAUUUUUAUUAGCCUGCAUGCCAAAAAUGUUGAAUGGAAAUCAAAAAAGAUUAUAUUAAAAUGUAACGAAUCACUCGCCUUAGAGUCACCAACAAGAAUCAAUAUUCCAGACACAAUGUACAGUGGCGCAAAUACACAGUUACCGUAUGCAAUAACUUGCAAAACAUUGUCGCUCUCCGAUUCCGAAUACACAUCUGUUAAAAGUAAAAAAACGCGAUUAUUCCUUACCGACACACAAUCACCACAUAUAAAUAUUAACGUACACACAGCAACCAUGGUAUAAGACAAAAUGCUAUAAGCAACCCCCCAGCAUAUGUUCCAUAUUGCAAAAAAAGAAGUACACUGUUUAUCCUCACACUCACAGCGACACAUUGCGAAUGUACGUUUUUUGGACUUUGAAUUUUGUAGAAUGAUUACCGACUGAGAUCUGUCGGAAUAUGAAUUAUA